GUUCUUCCUCUUGCUUCUCUGGCUAGUCUACAGGGAAGGAGGUGAAAACCACAGCGGCUUCAACUGCCCUGCCCCCUCCUCAGGCUGUGUUUGGUCAAGGGAUGGAUUCCACAAGCAGCUGUUUAUUAUGAACCGGGCAGAACUGCAUCCACUCUGGGAGAUGACAUGAAAGAUGAGGUCUCUUUUCCCAGAGACUCCCAGCUGAAAGGGGGACACAGAUACGUAAAUGGUGCCAUAACCAUAAGCAACAACUCCUCUGUUUUUCUUCAGAGACCCUUCUGUCUCCUCUCUCAGUCCACUGGGCUUUGAUGAUACUGACUAGGAUACGCAUGUGACCCGGUGCUGGCCAUUGAGAAAUCCCAUUCUCCCUGUCUGACUUGUUCAAGAUGAACACAUAUCCUAAUCUUGUCUGUUACUACUAGAACUUUCUAAAAAGGAGUACCCUCUGUCCAGGAUAUAAGCCCAGAGCUGCUAGGGACCACCCUAUAUGGAGAGACCACUGAGAAUGAAGCUGGCAUAGAGGAAAGCAAAGCCAAGAGAUGGCACUAGACAGGUCCUGAUGACAUAGUAUAAGCACCUUGAUCCAGCUGUGCCUGAAGCUCCAGAGGCCAUGUUCUUUACUACACAGAAUCUUACAUGACUGUGCCACCUUUCAUAUGGACACAGAGUGACAUGGAGCCAUGUAGAGGAUAGGCAUAGGGGCACUGCUAGUAACUAAAAAAUUUUGAAACAACUAAAAAAAUCUGUCAACCUGAUCAACAACUGCUGUGUCACUUGUUCAUACAAUGGAUCUCAAAAUGAUAAUAAAAAUGAAUAAAUCAGCAUCCUAUGUAUCAGUGCGGAUGGAUCUCUUAAUGCUUGAGUGAAAAGGAAAAAAGCUGCAGAAGAAAAUACACAAUCUGAAAACUUAUAUAUAAAAUAAGGAAACCCUACAAAAUAAUACCAUAUAUUGUAGUAAAAGGGUCAAGAAAUGGCUAAGAACUGCAUAUCCAAAUUCAGGUUGAUUUCUUUGGCUAAGUGAGGGCUACCUGGGCAUUCAUAAUAUUAUUCUUAAUAUUUUUUUCCUCCUCUCAACAAUUUAUUAUGAAAAUUCAUACAAAAAAUGGAAAGAAUUGUCCAGUGAACUCUCAUACAUUUACAGCUGAGAUAGUGCAAUGAACAUUUUGCUAUCAUAUAUAUAUCCAUCUCCUCAUAUUCUUUUUUUUUUUUUUUUGGCUGUACCUGUGGCAUGUGUUAGUUCCUGGGCCAGGGAUCAAACCCACACCAUAGCAGUGACCUGAGCCACUGCAGUGACAAUGCCGGAUCCUUAACCUGCUGCACCCCCAGGGAAUUCCGAUCUCACCAUAUUCUUGAUACCUUGUUUUAUGUCAGAAAUAUUUUAUAAUUAAAUUUUUUGAAAAGGGGGCUGAAACAGGGAAAAACUCAAAUUUAAAACAAUGAAUUAUAAUUGUCAUAAACUGUUAGUUUCAGAUGUACAACAUAGUGAUUUGAUAUUUUUACACAUUAUGAAGUGAUCAUUGCAGUAGGUCUAGUAACCAUCUGUCACCAUCCAAAGUGGUUAUAAUAUUACUGACUAUAUUCACUAUGCUAUACAUUACAUUCCCAUGACUUAUUUUGUAACUGGAGGUUGGUACUUAAUCUCCUUCACCUAUUUCAUCUAUUUCCCCCACCCCCUGUCCCUCUGGCAACCACUGGUUUGUUCUCUGUAUCUGUGAAUCUGUUUCUGUUUUGUUUAUUCGUUUGUUUUUUAGAUUGCAUGUAUAAGUGAGAUCAUGUGAUAUUUGUCUUUCUCCAUCUGACUUAGUGCUUAGUAUAAUGCCCUCCAUCCAGGUCCAUCCACAUUUGUCUUGCCACAAAUGGCAUGAUUUCAUUCUUUUUUAUGGCUAAGUAAUAGUUCAUUGUGUAUAUGUACCACAUCUUCUUUACCUAUUCAUCUGCUGAUAGACACAGGUUGCUUGCAUUUCUUGGCCUUUGUAAAUAAUGCUGCAGUGAUCAUGGGGGUGCAUGUAUCUUUUCAAAUUAGUGUUUUUGUUUUCUUCAGAUAAAUACCCAGAAGUGGAAUUGCUGGAUCAUAUGGUAGUUCUAUUUUCAGUCUUUGAGGAACCUCCAUACUGUUUUCCAGAAUGGCUGCACCACUUUAUAUUUCUACCCACAGUGGAUAAGUGUUCUGUUUUCACUGCAUCCUCACCAACACUUUUUUUUUUUUUGCUUUUUUAGGGCCACACCUGUGAAGGUCCCAGGCUAGGGCUCGAACCGGAGCUACAGCUGUUGGCCUACACCACAGCCACAAGUCACUUGUUUUUAGAUGCUAGCCAUUCUGAAAGUGUGUGGUGGUAAACCCAUACCUUCAUUGUUUAGAACAGCAUAAAUCAAAAACAAAUGAUGAUCCAAAGCCAAUCUCCUAAACUUCAAAAAAAACAAAAACAAAAAAAGAUGAUCUCCAUAUACGUCAGCGCUCUAUUUAAACAUAAUCAGUUACUUUUCACCAUAGCCAUAGCUAAAUAACUACGUGGCAGGCCUUAGAGAGCUAAGGUUGAAAGGGGGUUCCAGUCUAACUCCCCUAUUUUACAGAUCAGGGAACUGAGUCUCAGAGAAAAGAAGUUGCUCCCCCAAGCUCACAAACUAGUGUUAAGAGAAGCCUGGUUCCUUCUCUUCUCCCCCACUGUUUAUUUUGGCUCCACCCCAGGCCUAAGCAAAUUUCUGAAAUGCCCAGAAGCAAGCAAAGGAUCAAGGCAGCUGAGUUCCUGUAUUCUGGGUGGGAAGGGGAGCAGCCCGUGGCCCUGCUGAGCACACUGGUCAUGAACCGCUGGGAGCAAUACCUGUUGGGCAAUGGGCUGUGGGGAAACCUCACCUAUCUGUGUUUAAAUACCUGAUAAUGUUCUGUUGAAAUGCCUCUUACCAAUUGGGUGUGGCUGCCCAGUGCUAAAAUGUUUUCUGCCCAGUGCUAAGGUGUUUUCUUCCCAGUGCUAAGGUGCUUUCUCUCCCACAGUCAGUCAGAAAUGGGGGAACAUAAGUCUGUUUUUCUCCUGUGCCGGUAUUGUCCUGGUUUGUUCUCCUUUAGGGAGUCCCCAGCUGAAGUUUUAAGGACAGGCGGCAGGGCAGAAAAGGACCUGAGAUCAGGAAACUGGUCUUAGCUCUGGUCUUUGGAUGUUGCUUUGUAUAAUUCAUCUCCUUUUUCUAGGCCCCUGUCUGCCCUCCUCUCUGAUACAUGAGAAGGUGAUAAAAUGAUCUCCAAGUUCUCUUCUAGCUCCAACUUUCCAUGACUUUAUCAUUUUAUAUGAUUCUUUGGGAGCAUCCUGUAGGCAGCAGGAGGUCUGGAGGAAAAACUAGAGGGUGGGCAAAUCCUGGGUGGGGUGGGGGUGGAGCUGACUUCUGUCUUAACCCAGGCUGUAUUCCCAGUUCUCAUCGGUGUCUGGCAUACAGUGAGUACGCAAAUAUUUUCUUUCUUCUUGGGGUGGGGUUAGUGAUUUGUUAGAUUCUUUACUGGGAAUAGCUGCCAAGGUGGGCUGACAUCUUGUAUAACCUCCUCCAAAGUCUGUUUACUCUCAGAAGAUGCCUGAAUGCACCAGGAACAAACCUAAAGUAUUUCGAACUGUUGAACUUUCAGCUGGGGUAUAACCCCAAAUUUGUGGGGCUGGCGGCUACAGAAACCAGAGAUGCCACUUGAAGUGAGAAUUUAGCACCAUCUAGUGACUUAGUUGGGAAUCACAGGAGUGAUUUCCUUUUUUUGGUUUUUCUGAGAAAGCAGCAGUAAAGCCAUUAAAUAUACCAUUAAAAUAAACAAAGAAAAUC
rnacentral:lncRNA from 1 species